rnacentral:lncRNA from 1 species
UGGUAGAGCACAUUCCAAGCAAGCGUGAUGCCUCGGGUUCAAUCCCCAGCUCAUGAAGGGAGUGAAGAGAGAGGGCCCAGUGGAUACAAGUGGGUCUGUACCUAAGGGUGGCUCUUGAAGGACCCAUUCAAAAGGCCAGGAGCAGAGACACACUCUAAUCCUAGAGGCAGCAACAGGAAGAUCCCAGGGGCUUGCCUGGACAGUCCCUGGUAAAUGAAUUCACAAGCUCCAGGUUAAGUAAUGGACCCUGCCUCAAAAAACUAGCUGAAGGGGCUAGAGAGAUGGCUCAGUAGUUAAGAAUGCUUGCUGCUCUUCCAGAGGACCUGAGCUUGGUACAACUGCCUAUAAUUCCAGCUCUAGAGGGAUCCAGUGCCUCUAGCCUCCACAGUUAACAGGUCUGAAAUUGAGGCUGGCUUGAGGGCCACCACAGCUGCUCUUGACUGAGAUGACAAUAGCUGUCACACUCUGAGAAGACCGUUCCUCGGCAACUGCGUACUGUGGAAGGACACUUGAUUGUAGACAGUUGUUAUCUCUGGUCACAAUAGUAUGAGUUUCUCAAAAACUUUGAUGCCUGUGUCAAAAUUGUUUUUCAUUAAGUCUGUCCCAAUAGCUGGGUGGUGGUGGUGCACGCAUUUAAUUCCAGCACUCAGGAGGCAGAGGCAGGUGAAUCUCUGUGAGUUCAAGACCAGCCUGGUCUACAAGAGCUAGUUCCAGGACAGCCUCCAAAGCCACAGAGAAACCCAGACUUGGAAAAAAAAAAAAGUCUGUACCACUUUAUGUUAGUUCUAGCAUAUCUCAGUCCUACCUAGAAAAGCUUAUCUAAAAUGGAAUACAGUACUAUAACCUGAAAUAUUUUUAUUUUGCUAAUUUUGGGGGACAUUUCAUUGCUUAAUAUAUUCCUUAUUUUCUAAAAGAGUGAGAAAUAUGUGUAUGCUUAAUUGGCAUAGUUUCUUCUGUUAAUUAUCUCUUGGUAUUAGCUCUUUUUGUGGGGACACUGAGUAGACAGGAUCUUAAUAUACAACCCAGGCUAGCCCUGAACUUGCAAUCCUCCCACCCCAGUCUUUCGAGUACUGAGGUUACAGGUGUUUUG